CCUGGCUGAGGAGCUGGAAUAUGCCUUGACUUGUUUGGAUGGCCCGGUGCAGCAGACAGACAGAGAAGACACGCAACCUUUUUGGUCAAGGACUUGAAUACUGCAGCACCUGUGCACGCCUGGCUGUGGACGGACGAGGUGUUUCACUGCCACGGAACUUGCAAACAAUGGCCACAAAGGACUCAAGAAUUAGGUGGCAGCGGCACUGAGGACCAUGUGGCGGAGGGUCCAGAUGUACACCAGAAAGCAGACUUCAACAUCAGCACGGCCUUUUGCUGGAUUGAAGCAUCCCUCUUGUACAAUUUUGCAGUCUUUUAGAAUUCUCUGCUGCCAUCUGGUGACCAAAACAAACUUCAAGCACACAGCAGAAGCAUUGUGGUUGUUUUCUUUCUAGAUCAUAUGACAUGUUUAAAUGUUGUCACAGAAAAAAAUGCAUGUUAAUUAAGAUGCAGCAAAUUAUUUUAUGGGGCAUAAAUACACAGUGUAAUUGGUGA